AACGAACGCUGGCGGCAGGCCUAACACAUGCAAGUCGAGCGCGCCUUCGGGUUCGCGGCUGCCGGGUGGGUAACGCGUGGGGAUAUGCCCUUCUCUACGGAAUACUCCUGGGAAACUGGGGGUAAUACCGUAUACUCCCUUUGGGGAAAGAUUUAUCGGGGAAGGAUUAGCCCGCGUUGGUUUUGGGAGUUGGUGGGGUAAUGGCCUACCAAGCCGACGAGCCAUAGCUGGUUUGUGAGGAGGAUCAGCCACACUGGGACUGAGACACGGCCCAGACUCGUACGGGAGGCAGCAGUGGGGAAUCUUAGACAAUGGGGGCAACCCUGAUCUGGCCAGGGCGCGUGAGUGAUGAAGGCCUUAUGGUUGGAAAGCUCUUGCAGCUGGGAAGAUAAUGACGGUACCAGCAGAAGAAGCCCCGGCUAACUCCGUG
rnacentral:rRNA from 1 species